ACUAACUCAAGGGACCACAGAGAUGAAACUUGAAGGAGGAAGCAACACACCAUCAAUGUAUCGCAUGGAGCACGCUGGUGUCAUGUGAAUAGAUAUGACAAAAACAGCUCUCCUUAAAUUGUUUGUGGCAAUAGUGAUCACGUUCAUUUUAAUUUUGCCAGAACACUUCAAGACACCAAAAGGAAGAACAUUGGAGCUUUCCUGUCUGGAAGAGUGUUUGCAGCCUAAUUCCACCUAUUCGCUGUCCUCCUUAAAUUUUUCUUUUGUGACUUUUCUGCAACCAGUAAGGGAAACUCAGACUAUGAUGGGAAUCUUUCUAAAUUCCUCUACUUUCCAAAACUUCACGAAGAUUUGCCAAGACAUCACAAGUGAAUUUAAAAUAUGCUCCUCAUGUUUGGUUUGUGAAUCCAAAGGAAACAUGGAUUCCAUUUCUCAGGAACAAACAUCAAAAGUUCUUAUCAUGAGAGGAUCAAUGGAAAUGAAAGAAAAUGAUUUUUAUUCACCUUGUCAACAUUUUAACUUCACUGCGACUCCUAUAGUUGACUACAUGGGGGAAUAUAACAUUACCUGCCAUCUAAAAAACCACACUAGAAAAUCAAUAAGAGUGGAAGAAGAUCCAAUCAAGGAAAAGUCUACAAAUCACACUUGUAGAAUUAUGGACUAUCCUAACAAUUGUAUUCACAUUUCUUUGCACCUAGAAAUGGACAUAAAAAAUGUUACCUGUCCCACGAAGAUCACUUGGUAUAUUUUAAUUCUAUUAGUUUUUAUAUUUUUUAUCAUCCUCAUUAUCUUCAAAAUAGUUAAAGGCCACAGGAGAAUACAGAUGUGGCAGGGUCAUAAAUACAAAGGUACAUCUGUUCUUCUAAGAGGAAGCGAUUCUGAGAAACAGAGAGCAUUGAACGUGCGGGUUAUUUCAGAAGUUUGCUAUCAGCAUGUAAGUUACAUGACUUUCGAUACUAGGAGAAACUGAAGACAAUGCACCACUGGAGAAUUACUCUAGACUAACCAUCAUUUUGACAGAGUCCACACCGGGGCUGUCCUUGGCUCAGAUAGAGGAAGUGCUCCCCCCAAUACCAGAACUGGAAACUACUUCUGCAGUUCAUCAUCGAGAUCAAUACACAUGAUUAUCCCUGAGCAAAUUGGACUGAACCCUAUUGAAGAAUGCUUAUAAUUUUAUUUUGGGAAUGAGUAGGUUGGUAAAUGUUUGGGUCCAGCUGAGGCUCACAAUAGGAAAGCCGUGGGAAUCAGACUUCUUGAUGGGAAGUAGCUCAGAGCUUUCAUCUGACCCAAGAGAUCAAGGGAAUGAGCCUGUUUUCAAGGAAGCAGCAUGAGUCAUGGAAAACCCAUUUCCGGUGAAACCCACGGAAAGAACAGGAGAACACUUAACUCUUAUUUUCAUCCAUCACUACAGUGGACCCAAGGUUUUAAUUUUGACCAAGAAUGGUCAAGGAUGAAAGUCCUUUCUCUCAUUGCAGAUUCUGACUGGGUGACUUUUUCCCUAUACCAAAGAUUGUUUAGUAUUUGGCAAAUUGCUUAGGAGGGCCUGGGCUAUUUGCUUAUACAUUUGUUUGCAUUUAUUAAUCUUGCCUUCUUUGGGCACUAGAAUGUUUUAAAAACAUUUCACAGAUACCAAAAUAAAAUGAUUUAAAUGAAA